AGUGAACGCUGGCGGCGUGCUUAACACAUGCAAGUCGAACGAGAACGGAAUAUAGCUUGCUAUAUUUGUCAGCUAAGUGGCGCACGGGUGAGUAAUGUAUAGAUAACCUGCCCUUAAGAAAGGAAUAACAGUUGGAAACGACUGCUAAUGCCCUAUAUGCCUUUAAUACAUAAGUAUGCAAGGGAAACGCUUUAGUGCUUAAGGAUGGGUCUGUAUGGUAUCAGCUUGUUGGUGAGGUAAUGGCUCACCAAGGCUAUGACGCCUAACUGGUUUGAGAGGAUGAUCGGUCACACUGGAAUUGAGACACGGUCCAGACUCCUACGGGAGGCAGCAGUGGGGAAUAUUGCACAAUGGACGAAAGUUUGAUGCAGCAACGCCGCGUGGAGGAUGACACAUUUCGGUGCGUAAACUCCUUUUAUAUAGGAAGAUAAUGACGGUACUAUAUGAAUAAGCACCGGCUAACUCCGUGCCAGCCGCCGCCGUAA
rnacentral:rRNA from 1 species